rnacentral:lncRNA from 10 species
UGAUCACCAGUAAUUCUUAGAUUUUGUUUUUUAAGGUAAUUUUUUAUAUCUUUUAGGUGAUCUUUGUUUCUUUUCAUUUUUUUCUUUUCUGUGCAUUUUCGGGCAGGGAGGGAGAGUGAGGAUGGAAAACCAGGAUGACCAGCGGCUCUAAAUCCCCUAAGGGUGGUAUUCCUUUUUGAGGAACUGGCCACCCCUCUACACAGCAGCUGAGAUGCAGGAGUUCCUGUUUCAACUCCCCCACCCUGCUGGAGGCUGUAAGGCAGGGUGUGAUCGGCUUUUACUGGAGAACAGGAAAUAGCAGGAAACGUCACCUACAAGGGCACAUUAAUCACAUUAGCUUGGCAAACUAUCAUCUGGGAUUCAAGAAUCCAUAAGUGAGUAAGUCUAGCCUAUACUUUCUGCCUCCCUCAACAAAUAGAGAGUUGAAACAAGUAUAGUCAAUGAAGCUGGAAAUGAAGGCUGCCCUCAUUAGGAUGUAAUCUCUGUGAGGCAGGGAUUUCUGAUUAUUUUAUUUCCUGAUAAAGCACAGCCCCUGGAGCAAAGCCUGGGACAGAGUAAGUGCUGAGUACAUAUAUGUCAAAUGAAUGGAUGAGUGAAUGAAGCAAAUGGUUAUCCAAGAUCUUAGAACUUUGAGUAUGAAUAACUAGCUUCAGAUCCUGGGAUUAUCUGAAAUGAAGUAGAAAAUAACUAUGAAAAAUUUAAUUAAAAAUAAAAGAUCAGAUCAAAAAUGAACAAGAAAAAAUAGACUGUUACAUAAAGUUUUAGGGUACAUGUGCACAUUGUGUAGGUUAGUUACAUAUGUAUA